UGGUUUUGAUGGGGGCUGCGCGGCCGUCCAGGACCAGGAGGAGCAGCAGAGCCCUAGCCGCCGCCCCGGCGACCCCCUAUGUCCCUUUCCUUUCCUCUUUCCCUACCACCCGCCCCCUCCCGCAGCUUCCCCACUGAUGCCUCGAUCAAUCCCAUCCCCAUGGCGACCCUCCCAGCGCCCAUUCCUGCCGAUGAGGUCCUCCCCUCCGAGCCGGGUCGUCUAAGACCAGGAGGAGCAACGACGCCUCAUCAUCGUCAUUCCCCUACUUACCCAUGGGUUCAUCAUCCUAGAUCCGCCCCUGCUGGUCACGGGCGAGCCCCCACGCCGAGGCUAGAGGAGCUGAUGAAGAAGCUGCAAUUUAAGAUCCAAUUGAUUAGGUCAGUGCAUGACAAAGAAGCAGCGUUUGCCCCCACAGCAUCUCCAUCACGUUACGUAUAUUUUGCGGCUGCGCGUCUCCAUGGCUGCCACCAGCAAUUUUCUCCAGUGUUGGCAACCAAGCAAGCGUUGUCUUCUCCAUGGGCUGACACGAUCUGGUAAAGGUUUUAUUUUGGAUCCACCAAGUGCUUAUGAUUUCGUGGCCGUCAAACGGCAUGUGAUAUGCCUUUGCCAGUGGCACACAUUACGCAUCUUGGAUGAAGAGAGUCGGGAGACCCUGAUGCUACACACCGCUAUUCCAACCAUUGAUGAUCUUAUGUCUUUGUGCCAGCGGUAAUUAUCUAUCCAUUUUUUGGUAAAAUCCUGUAUAGAUAGCUAUACACAUGCUUUUAAAAUUAUCUGUUUGAAUAUUUGAAAUGUUCAUAUUCAAAGCAAAACAUUUGUAAUGUUACCAUGUAUAUUCAAAAGGAAAUAGCAACUGAAUUUGGUUGCAACCAGAAAUUGACCUCAAUUAUUUACAGCCUAGAGGACUCAUGCAGAAACAUAAUCUUCAUUUUUUAUGGAAUGGAGGAACGGUGGAGUGUAUCUGGGACAGGAUACAUAUACAUAAUUUUUUCGAUUUUGCCACUUUCUGCAUGCCAUUUUUGAUAGUUUAGUCCGUGUGGCAGAGAUGUUACCUUCCAAUCUAAUCUACUAAAUCACACAAAUAGUAUGUGACUAGACACCUGCUAUCUGAAUGCACCUUAAUCAGAUGGAAAACUGGCCAAUUAUGCCACACUAUUUAAUGUGUGGCACAUUUAGUCGAUGCAUCUUGCCAAUCAGUAUUGGCAGCCAAACAUAGACGCCACCCAAACAUUGACCCCGUAAAAUCACAUAGGGUUUUCCUCUAUAAAGAGCACUUGAAAACAUAAUUAUAAGAAUAAAAAAGUUGUGACAUUUGUAGCUUGAGUUAGAAUUUAGAUAUUUCAGAUGGCCAUUCUGUAAAAUUGGAUGUAACUUGAAAAAGUGGAAUAGAAAAUCACAUCUGAGUGAUUAGAAUGAACAUGUUAUCAUGUAUGAAGAGGUCAAACCAGAAUUCUAAGAAUAAGAAAAUUGCGACCAAACCGUUCGUAUUCGGUUCUGACUUCGAUUAGUAUUUACUAGAUCUUUAGUUAUAAUUGUACACUGACCCAAAAAAUAGUGUAUCAUAUGUCAGAACAAUGUAAUAUAAUAAAAAAGGAUUGCUACCCCAUGCAUUUUGAUCUUUUAUAAGUUAUUACACUUUAAUCUUUUCCAAAGCAGUUUUUUGUAUGCAUUAAAAUGCCCUUGUGAGGAUGGUGUUUUAUGGUUUUCUAAAAACACACACAACCAUAAGACAAAAGCUUUAUUAGGCAACUGCAUUUGGAUAAUAGUACAUAUUAGGCACCAUAUUAUCAAAAGAGACGCAAAAUGGAAAUGAAAGGUACUUUCUGUAAUUAACACAAAUAAAACUAGAACAAAGAAAAUUAAUAUCUACUCACUCGAUUGCUAAUACUGCAAGUAUCAGUUACAAUAGAAGCGUAUUCGUUGCUUAAGAUCGAGACUUACUGUCAAUAUUCCGUAGCUAAUGUUGUGAUUGAUGCAAUCGUGCCUUUGUAGUAAUCAUCCUAAUAGCACAAGACUGCAGGGUCAAAGAGUGGUAAAGCUAACCCCUUAACGUUUCAUAUCUGAAUUACUGCUACAGUUUGUCACGACCGAUUCAUACACUGACAACACUAAACCUGUAGGCCUUCCAGCUGGUCUAUGUGCCCGACGGAUGAUCUUGCACAGGGUCAAUAAUGUGCUUUACAACUUAAGAUCAAUUCCAUUGUCACCAUAGUAUGAGAACAACACGCAACUUAACAGCUGCAUCAACAUGAACAUCAGCGCGUUACUUAUAGAGCAGAAAUUCAUCCAGCCUUAAGACAGAUUAUGCCGUGCCAUAACGUUAUGCACCUACCUUUUUUUUACUCACCAACAACAGACAUACUGAAUUUUUUUUUUCAUUUGUUUUUCACAAAAUUGUAAAUGCAUUCAUCCAAUUUAGGCUCAAUAUUCAUAUUACAAUUCAAAAUCCUAGAUAAGAUAGGUAACCUGUUAUAUUUUGCACUCUGACUUAGAGGUUCAAACUGCACGGAUGUGAGUGUAACAGUGUAAAUAUCAAUCUAUUUUCUUGUUUGAUUGAACCAAAAUGUUGUUAUAUAUGUAUGUGGCUACUUGCUUGACACUGAGGUACUGAAAGUACACAUGCUACUAGUGUUACUACAAACUAUACGACAGUUAGAGCCGGUGGGAGAUGAUUCUAAGAAUAAGAGCCGGAAGACAAGGAGACUAAUGUGCAAUCAAGACUUGGCGAAGAUGUGGCGUUGAGGUUCAGAAUGGUUCAUCCAGUUCCCAAGACUGUUACUUGCCUGCAAAAUUCUAUUUGAAUGUGUUUUUCCCCUUUUUAGCAAGAUAUUAUGGUCUAAAUUUUUAUUUUUCGUUCAACUCAUGGCAUAGGUUCAGAAUUGCCAGUGAACAAAAAAUGAUAAUAUAUACGCGCCGACAAAAGAAUAGCCCCAAGACAAAACCUAAACGCAUUUAGCAGAGAACGGCGCGGCAAGACGCGCAUGGUCCAUCUAGUAUUUACUAAUUAGAGACACCAUUGAAGCCACCACGUUAAUCCACAUAAUCAAGAUUAAUUAGGCUGUUAGAUCUUAGUUUUGUGGCUAGGAUUAACCGCGUGAAACAACAAUCUGCUGGACGUUACAAAUAAUCCGGCACGAUGGUUCAAUCGUACAUGUGAAUGCAAAUAAAACAUAAUUAAAAGUGUGAUUUGACCAAACGUUACAAAUAAACAACCAAACGUUAAAACAUACUGAUUGAUGUAUGCAAAUAAAACAUACUUAAAACAACCAACUUCUGCUGGACGUUACAAAUAAAACAUACUUAAAAUAUCGGUGCAGCUUGUGAUGGGGGGUCUGGAAAUAUCCAUUUGGUGCAGAAGUGUGAUUUAGAUGUUCUUUACGUUGCAUACUUAAAAAAAACAGUGGCUUUUGAUACCCAAUUUUUAACUGUAGUAUUAAUAUCUUCUUUUGAUUUCCACACAGGAAAUAUUUCCUUAAUUUUGCACCUGUCUGCUAUAUAUUUCUAAGUAUCAAGUUGAUAUUAGAGGGUUAGAUGAACAAAUUCAAACUCUACUCUCCAAGGUGCGCAAUAUUAAUCUCCAACAGAAUUUUCAGGGAAGUUAGAAGACUCACUAAUUUAACAAACUGCUGCAAUAACUGAAUUUCAUUGAUGGUCAAAGCCCUGGAUCCAAUGCUCAUUUCAUUGGGCUGAAAUUUGUAGAUAUGGAUUGAUGCUUUGUUGGGUGCUUCAUCCAAUAUCUGUCUUCCAUAUAUCAUAUACAUAUGUAGGGGUAACUAAAUAUGCUUUUAGUUUUUUUUGUAGGACAAUAAAGGUGCAUAUAGAGGAGUGUGUUUUAGUUUUCAGUGCCUCAACAUCCAUCGAGCUUACCAAACAUCAAGGGUAGCUGCUUUAGCAAUUUUAACAACAAAAGGCUGUAUUGCCGAAUUUGGCUGCUGCCAUCCUUUCCCAAGAACACACUUUGAUAUUCUUCCAUUUUGUCUUUCCCUUCCCGUUGUCCCAACAUUUCAUAAGUAUUGAACAAUUAUACCA